CCCUUAGAUGUUCUGGGCUGCACACGUGCUACACUGGCAGGUUCAGCGAGCUUCAUGCCCUGAUCUGAAAGGAAUGGGAAAUCUUUUCAAAACCUGCCGUGCUUGGGAUAGAUGUUUGCAAUUAUUCAUCUUCAACGAGGAUUGCCUUGUGAGCGCACGUCAUCAGCGUGCAUUGAAUACGUCCCUGCCCUUUGUACACACCGCCCGUCGCUCCUACCGAUUGAGUGCUCAGGUGAAUAAUUCGGACUGCAGCAAUGUUUGGAUCCCGAACGUUGCAGCGGAAAGUUUAGUGAACCUUAUCACUUAGAGGAAGGAGAAGUCGUAACA
rnacentral:rRNA from 1 species